rnacentral:lncRNA from 1 species
GUUUGGGCAAGAAAAAAGUUCCAUCACCACUAUGAGAUGAACAUCACGUUGUAAUGAUCCACAUUAUGGGAUCCCCUUCUCAAAUUAUUUUACCCAUUUGGAUCAUACAUGUAAAUGGCGGCUUUAAACCCAGGUCCACAUGGCUGUUAAACAUACAGAGGGUACAGAACAUGGGUGACUGCAAAAGUCUGGUCUGCUCCACACACCAGUGGAGCAGCUCUGGUGGAAAACAAGUGCCCACAAGCCCAUGAUGAGUUAGUGGCAGAACUGGAAAUGGAACCCAGGAGUCCUGACCCCCCCCCCAUCAGACAAGCCUACCUGCUCAGGGGCAGGGUCACCGCUUCUUCCUUCCCAGCUGGCUGCAGUUUGAUGGAAUACCAGGAUUUUGCCUAUCACCAGGUAGGACUGGAGAUGAAGACAGAGACUAAAGGACUGUUCCCGACUGCUGUGUCCAAAGAGAAUCUCCGGGAGAGAUCCCUGCGACAGAUCUUUGGGUCCAGCCAGACUUUGCGAGACCUCAAGGACCCCAGCGGAGUGAAGUCCCCAACAGCGAUUGUGCAGAACAGGAUACUGGAGCAGUGAGUGCCCAGCAGACACGUCUUAUAUUUUCACUGUUACAAACACCUGCUUUCUUGUCCAUGUCCUGCAAGGAGGCUGGGAACCAAACUUUUAAAAAACCUUACUUAGUGCUGGUUCGAGGUCCUGGAAUGACAGUCUUGGGGACUAGGGUCUGAUUUAUCCACAGAACAGGUUCAGCAUGGGCUGCAGCUUCCUCUGCCCAGCCAUAGUGCACUGGAGGGUUCCCUUCUGUGGGCAAGAGGGCGGUCAGGCUGACCAGCCUGCUUGGUCCUUGGUCUCUCUGUUGAGAUUGCCAGCUUGGACCCAGUAAGAGCCUGUUGUGAUGGUGUUACCGGUCCUAUCUGAACUGAAAUGAGACCUAGCAACUUAAGCUGGGAAUUUUCACCAGAAAUGGCUGCCAUGCUAGAUAAUUUUCUGAAAGUGAGGGCAGAUUAUCUGCAGUUGAACUGCCAUCUGCCAGUU